UAAUACGAAGGGGGCUAGCGUUGCUCGGAAUCACUGGGCGUAAAGCGCACGUAGGCGGCUUUCUAAGUCAGGGGUGAAAUCCUGGAGCUCAACUCCAGAACUGCCUUUGAUACUGGAGAGCUUGAGUUCGGGAGAGGUGAGUGGAACUGCGAGUGUAGAGGUGAAAUUCGUAGAUAUUCGCAAGAACACCAGUGGCGAAGGCGGCUCACUGGCCCGAUACUGACGCUGAGGUGCGAAAGCGUGGGGAGCAAACAGG
rnacentral:rRNA from 1 species